rnacentral:rRNA from 1 species
UUUGAUCCUGGCUCAGAUUGAACGCUGGCGGGAUGCUUUACACAUGCAAGUCGAACGGCAACACGGACUUCGGUCUGGUGGCGAGUGGCGAACAGGUGAGUAAUGUAUCCGGAACGUGCCUAGUAGCGGGGGAUAACUACGCGAAAGCGUAGCUAAUACCGCAUACGCCCUUCGGGGAAAGCGGGGGACCUUCGGGCCUCGCACUAUUAGAGCGGCCGAUAUCGGAUUAGCUGAUUGGUGGGGUAACGGCUCACCAAGGCGACGAUCCGUAGCUGGUUUGAAGGGACGACCAGCCACACUGGGACUGAGACACGGCCAGACUCCACGGGGCAGCAGUGGAAAUUUUGGACGAUAAAACCUGAUCCAGCCGCGUGUGCGAUGAAGGCUUCGGGUUGUAAAGCACUUUUGGCAGGAAAGAAACGGCACGGGAUAAUACCCCGUGCAACUGACGACACCUGCAGAAUAAGCACCGGCUAACUACGUGCCAGCAGCCGCGGUAAUACGUAAGUGCAAGCGUUAAUCGGAAUUACUGGGCGUAAAGCGUGCGCAGGCGCGGUUCCGGAAAGAAGAUGUGAAAUCCCAGAGCUUAACUUUGGAACUGCAUUUUUAGCUACCGAGCUAAGAGUGUGUCAGAGGAGGUGGAAUUCCGCGUGUAGCAGUGAAAUGCGUAGAUAUGCGGAGGAACACCGAUGGCGAAGGCGGCCUCCUGGGAUAACACUGACGCUCAUGCACGAAAGCGUGGGAGCAAACAGGAUUAGAUACCCUGGUAGUCCACGCCCUAAACGAUGUCAACUAGCUGUUGGGGCCUUCGGGCCUUGGUAGCGCAGCUAACGUGAAGUUGACCGCCUGGGGAGUACGGUCGCAAGAUUAAAACUCAAGGUUGACGGGGACCCGCACAAGCGGUGGAUGAUGUGGAUUAAUUCGAUGCAACGCGAAAAACCUUACCUACCCUUGACAUGUCUGGAAUCCCGAAAGAGAUUUGGGAGUGCUCGCAAGAGAACCGGAACACAGGUGCUGCAUGGCUGUCGUCAGCUCGUGUCAUUGAGAUGUUGGGUUAAGUCACGGCGAGCGCAACCCUUGUCAUUAGUUGCUACGAAAGGGCACUCUAAUGGGCACCAAAGUGACAAACCGGAGGAAGGUGGAUGACGUCAAGUCCUCCUUGGCCCUUAUGGGUAGGGCUUCACACGUCAUACAAUGGUCGGGACAGAGGGUCGCCAACCCGCGAGAGGCCAAUCCCAGAAACCCGAUCGUAGUCCGGAUCACAGUCUGCAACUCGACUGCGUGAAGUCGAGAAUCGCUAGUAAUCGCGGAUCAACAUGUCGCGGUGAAUACGUUCCCGGGUCUUGUACACACCGCCCGUCACACCAUGGGAGUGGGUUUUACCAGAAGUAGUUAGCCUAACCGUAAAGGGCGAUUACCACGGUAGGAUUCAUGACUGGGGUGAAGUCGUAACAAGGUA